GACGAACGCUGGCGGCGUGCUUAACACAUGCAAGUCGAACGGGAUCCAAAGGCUUUUUGUUUUUGGUGAGAGUGGCGAACGGGUGAGUAACACGUGAGUAACCUGCCCCCUUCUUUUGGAUAACCGCAUGAAAGUGUGGCUAAUACAGGAUAUUCCAGGCUGGUCGCAUGAUUGGUUUGGGAAAUGGUUUGUUCUGGUGGGGGAUGGGCUCGCGGCCUAUCAGCUUGUUGGUGGGGUGAUGGCCUACCAAGGCGGUGACGGGUAGCCGGCCUGAGAGGGUGGGCGGUCACACUGGGACUGAGAUACGGCCCAGACUCCUACGGGAGGCAGCAGUGGGGGAUUUUGCACAAUGGGCGCAAGCCUGAUGCAGCGACGCCGCGUGAGGGAUGAAGGCCUUCGGGUUGUAAACCUCUUUCGCUGGGUUGAAAGGCCAUGCUUUGGGUGUGGUUGAUUUGAACUGGUAAAGAAGUACCGGCUAACUACGUG
rnacentral:rRNA from 1 species